CUCACACCUUGGGCGUGUGUGGGAGCAGGAGAGGGAUUCUCUGGGGUCCCCAUUUGGAACCUGGAGACCCACUUCUGCCAACAAGUCCUUCAGCCCCUCUGGGCCUUAGUUUCCCCCCAGUGAAGUGGGGAUAGUGACAGCUCCCCCGGGAGCCAGUGAAAACUUUGUGAAGGGAGUGAUUACUGCGGGCGAAGGCGCUUGGCACAGCCACAACUGAAGCUCAGCCGUCGGAUGUGAUUAUUGUUGCUAUUGUUACCGCUCCGCCUGGACUGGGUGCCCGGUCGGAAAGUCCCGCUCCCCGCUCCUCCUCCCAGGCGCGGAAGCUUCGCGCCGCCCGCCUCGGGGGACACCUCCCGCGCCAUCUCGGGGGCACUGGAGAUAAGGAAAGGAACCUCCUCCCUGGCUGGGAUGGCUGCCCGGGCGCGGGAGGAGGGCCGGGGACCCGGUGAGGGAGGACCGUAGGGCCCGUGGGGGCUUCACGCCUGGCAGGCGGCCGGCCAGCUCUGGCUGGUGCUUCUGUAUGGGCACAAGCGUCUCAGCUAUCAGACGGUGUUCCUGGCCCUCUGUCUGCUCUGGGCCGCCUUGCGUACCACCCUCUUCUCCUUCUACUUCCGAGAUACUCCCCGCGCCAACCGCCUGGGGCCCUUGCCCUUCUGGCUUCUCUACUGCUGCCCCGUCUGCCUGCAGUUCUUCACCUUGACGCUUAUGAACCUCUACUUUGCCCAGGUGGUGUUCAAGGCCAAGGUGAAGCGUCGGCCGGAGAUGAGCCGAGGCUUGCUCGCUGUCCGAGGGGCCUUUGU
rnacentral:lncRNA from 1 species